UAGAGAGGAGUCUUUUGCUAUGUUAAUUAGGUGACUUUUGGACCCCAAAUGAGGGGGGAGGCUGGUUGCUGGGGAAACCAACCACGGGACUAGGAACAGGGCUGGAUUUCCAAUCAGUCACCAGUGGCCGAUGAUUUUAAGCAACAAUGCCAAUUGAAGCCUCCAUAGAAACCCAAAAGGGUGUGGUUUGGAGAGUUCCAGAUGGGGAGCUUCCAGAACUCCGGAAACUCAUUUACUCACUAGAGUACCCAUUUAGUACAAAUGAUAUUAGAUGCUAUCAAUAGCCACAUAAAGAGAUACAUAGGGCAAGGUCCCGACCAAAGGAGCUUCUGCCCCCUUGGAAUUUAGGGCCCAUAACGUGGCAUGUGGAAUGUGUUUUGGUUCAUCCACCAGAAGUGUAGAAGAUAGUCUAAUAGAUAACUGCUCAAGGCAUACCCAUCGUCAGCUUCAAAGUCACGUUCUCAGUCCUGACCCACCAGUGAGCGUCGUGUUAACUCCAAGGAGGAGGAAGAACAUUGAACGGUGGGAAAACAGGUGGAAGGCUCUCUGCUGGCCUGUGCUGGAAUCCUGGUUCUGUGUUUAAGGAAAAGUUUAGGAUGCUUUUAGUGGCUAGUUGAAAUAAAAAUCGGAACACAUGAAAGCGCUCUCAACUCGUCUACCAAUAAGGUUUUUUUAGAGAGAUGCUACUGUGAGAUCCUGGUGCUUCUCCAGAGGGCUCGACAGAGUUCCCGGAGGCAGGUGCACAGCCAGGUCUCUGUGUACCUGAAGAUUUCGUGGGUGGCCUCCCAGAGGAAGUGGAACUGCUCCCCUGUAUCUUCACACUUUGAAAUACUACUUUUUAAGAACGAAAUGGCUAGACUUCCCCAACUUAAGAUGAACCAAAAUAGUGCUUUUAGAGCAACAAUUUAUUGAAACCAAAUCCUGGGGUACCAUAUUAAUUUGUACUAUUUUCAAGCCAAAAGAAAGUAUUGGUAUUUAUUUCUAUUAUUUAUUAUUUUAUUAUUAACAUGAUCAAUGAGACUUUUGUAUUAAGCUAAUAUCUUAAUAAAUGAAAGAAUAAAAAACCAUAGUUUCAUU